CAGCCGCCGCGGUAAUACGAAGGGUGCAAGCGUUAAUCGGAAUUACUGGGCGUAAAGCGUGCGUAGGCGGUGAGUUAAGUCUGCUGUGAAAUCCCCGGGCUCAACCUGGGAAUGGCAGUGGAUACUGGCUCGCUAGAGUGUGUCAGAGGAUGGUGGAAUUCCCGGUGUAGCGGUGAAAUGCGUAGAGAUCGGGAGGAACAUCAGUGGCGAAAGCGGCCAUCUGGGACAACACUGACGCUGAGGCACGAAAGCGUGGGGAGCAAACAGGAUUAGAUACCCGUGUAGUCCCUGUCUCUUAUAC
rnacentral:rRNA from 1 species